ACUGUGCCUAGUUUGAUCCUCAGAGACUGAUGUGUAAGCUUAAAGUAAAGACAUCAAAUCAAAGUAUCAGCCAUCAAGAGGAAGAACAUUAAAAAUCAUAUUGUGAUACACAAAUCAAGUAGAUCUAUGACCAGCAUUAUGAUACAGGCCAAGAAAAAGCUGGAUAUUUGAUUGGAAGGGUGGCACAAAAAAGAUGGGUUAUCACUAGGGAAACAGCAAGCCAAAUACUUCUAAACUUAUUUGAAUCAUUUUUGCUGUUUAUUAUAAUUCAUCCAAUUGUCUUAUUAACUAUAUAAAUUUAUAUAUAUACACAAUUCCUAAUAUAGAAUUUCUAAAAAUGUUUUAUUAUAAUAUUUAAAAAUGAAACAAGAAUUUUCAUUUUAAUCUGCAAAAGCUACAUUCUGUACAUUAUUAUUUUCAAACUACAUCAUAUAUUUUUCUCUUC